AGAUCCGGGAGCAGCCCCCCGGGGUUGGGUCGGAAGAGUCUGCUGCUCCAUUCCACCGCUCAGGGACUGGCCCCCACAGAGCGAUCCCCAGCACCCCUCUGUGGCACCGAGAACAUCCAGGCUGCUACCAGGGUGUGGUCCUUGGGUUUUCUACUCUUUAUCACCUGAAGCCUCAGCAUCUGACCGACUCUGGGAUAGCCGAGGCCUUCAGCCUCCCAAACCAGUCUUUGCCCAAACCCCGACUGAGGGAUCCCUACGUGGGGACCUUCAGCAAAUGUCCUUAUUUAGUGAGGGUAGCAGCUAAGCUGUCCUCUCUGCAGUAAAUCAUGCCUCCAGCCAUCAAUGCCUUUGUGGCUUUGGUCCCUAUAGGACUUUAUGACCAGAACUAUAGCAUAUAAACUUAAUUAGUAAGGCCAAAGUCACACUGAUGUUGAAUCCAAAAAUUCACUUAAAAAAUAAUGUAUUUAUUUUGAGACAGGAUUUCACUAUUUUUUUGAAAACUAGGGAAUAUGAUACCUGCACACAUAGGCUAGGAAAGCAUUGCACUCACUUAGCCCCUCUCCCUGUGGGACUCUGGAUUGCUCCUUUGUGUGUGUGUGUGUGUGUGUGUGUGUGUGUGUGUGUGUGUGUGCUACAAAUCUUCACUCAUAAGCUCUGCUUGGUCUAGAAAGGGCUAGUGCUAAAUGAGUAGGGUUGAAAGAGAUGCUAUUUGAAUGAGUAAGAGGACCACUGAGACAGGCACAUCCACACUACCCACACUAGAGUGUGAGCUUCCACUUUAUGUACACAUAGGAUAAGUUACUGAUAGGAAUCCAUUUCUCCACCACAUGUGAUAGCGUCAUAUUUCUUCCACUGUAAACACAUCUCAAAACACAAACCUAAAGUACUCAUCCGUCCCCUAGCUCUCUGACCCCAUCGUAUUCACCAACACAGGCCUGGCUUGGGACCCUUUGAGCCAAGGCUGUCAACCAUUAAAAACCAGAGCUCUCUCUUGAUUUUCUCCAGUCGCUGAGCCUCACACUCGGUACCAACAGCGUGAGAUGAAUUAGUUCGAGGCAGAAGACUAAUAAGCAUAGACCUUUUAUAGAUGGGCACGAGGCUGCAUUACUGACAACGGCUGGGUUCUCUAAAAACUCGGCAGCCAUUUAUUUACAAACGCUGUGAACAGUACAAGAAACGUCAGAGGUCUAAACAGUUAAUGUGAGAAAAAUACCAACAGUUCAUGACACUAAAUUCAACGGUUCCUGGUGCGAGGCGGAACCCUAGAAACCGAACUCCGACUCUGGCUAAGUGGUCUUCCUAUUGCUGUUCGUCCCCUUUCAUCCUUUCAAACCAGGAUGACUUGCGAAACCUCCCCACAGCAGCUCCGGGAAGAACUGAAGCUCUGCGGUCCUGUCAGAUCUUCACAAGGAACUGGCUUCCAUCCAGCUUCCCCUUCUCCUUAAGAAUUGUGAGGACUCGCUACAAUACAGGACAGACACCCAUCCAGCUAUGUGGUAUGACAAGAAGGCAAGAGACCUGGGCCAGCUAUCCAAUCGCUCUGCCCUUCAGGGUGCGCCCGAGGAAGAGAGGAGACAAGGCCUCUCUCAUCACCACUACACUGCUAUAGCUUGUUUAACUCCCCGUCCUUAAACUUCCUGAGAACAGGUCGGAAGGAUCCUCAGGAGGGCAGGGACAGACUGACUGUCAACAACGCCUGGCUGAGGGAGGGCCUGGCAGGAAGGUCUUCAGUGAAUAAUGAACGGCAGCCCCAUGGAAGUGACUGUUGGGAUCUAAUGCCCGUGUUUAUUCACUCAAUGCUUACGGAUUUCUUUUGUAGACAGUUUCACCAUGAAGACCAGGCUGGCCUUUACCUGGAGAUCCUUCUGCCGCAGCCUCCCAGUGCUGGAUUUGCAUGGAUUAGCAUGACAUUGUGGAAGGAGUUUUAUCCACUAAGGUUCAGUAACUCAUAGAAUACCUAGUACUUGUCAUAUAAAAUGCAAGAA
ensembl:antisense Gm26770 predicted gene, 26770